CAUACGAAAACUAGAUGGGAUGGGGAAAAAGUUACCUGGUAGGGGAUCGGAGAUUGAGCGGUAGAGAAUACCAGAGUGGCCUAAUCUCAAAAUAAAUUUUGAUGUCACUUUUAACAAAUAAGAAAGCAGAUCCUGUUUGGGCAUUAUGAUAAGGGAUUCAAAUUGAGGGGCUCUAGGGUCUAAAACAGUGCCAAACAAUAACAUGCCUUUGGCGUUUGCAGCAAAACCUCUCGCAUGUGUUUAGGCGGUUCAAAUGUGAUUGGAAUUAGGUUUAUCGGUGGUGGAAGUUGAAGGCGAUGCACUGUCAGUAAUCAAUAAGAGUCAAAGUAAUGGGUUGGACAGAUCAGAAAUAGGUGCAUACAUAAAGGAUAUUCAACAAUUGAAGAGGGGCUUUCAAAGAUGUUGGUUUAAACAUACUCCAAGAAUGGACAAUAGGGUAGCACAUGCAUUAGCCACAUAAGGUUUGAAGAGAGGGGAACAUAUUUACCUAAGAAGUGAAGUGCCCGAAUAUAGUGUGUUCUUGCUAGAAAAUGACCGAAGAUAGGUAAGAACGCCGAACUGAGCUGCCUUUAGAGAAAUGGUUCAAGUUGGAUGAAGAGGCCAAAGAAAAAGGAGAGCUUAGAAAAGGAAGAAAAGUCAAAACUCCCUCAGGAACUGUAGGCUCCGUUCUUCUUUACGUUUUAAAUGGACUUUUGCGUUAAAAAGUCCUUUUCUCUUAAAAGGAACGAAGAACGGCCUCCAUUUUCUCAAAAAAAUCACCAUCUAAAAUGUGAUUUUCUCCAAAUGGAGAAGCUAAAAAUUUCACCAUCUAAAAAGCUUGAAGUGCUUUUGGCUGAUAAAUGACCAAAUUAACCUGUCUUCUCCCCCUUGGAAAAACGUUCUUUCCUCUGCUGUGAAAGUUCUAUACCCAUUUUUUUCACAUUUCGCUGUGAAAGCUCCUUCCUAUUCUUUGUUCCUUUUCCGCAGAAAUCAUGGAACAAAAGCUUGCUGCACAACAUGUGGAAAUGCAGAGACUUGGUACAGAAAACCAGAGAACAGCUGCUACCAAUGGGACAUUGAGACAGGAACUUGCUGCUGCACAGCAUAAGUUACAGAUCUUGCAUGCUCAGAUAGGAGCUGUAACAUCUGAAAGAGAACAACAAAUGACGAGCCUUACGGAUAAAAUAGCUAAGAUGGAAGCAGAACUGCAAGCAGCUGAGCCUGUUAAGGUAGAGUUGCAGCAAGCACACUCUGAUGCUCAGAAUUCAGUGUUCUCUUUAUGUUAUAAGCUGGACAUUAUUAUAAUAGAUUGUUCUUUCAAUUUUAAAAUUGUAUAAGCAAAAUGAAAUGGACUAGGAUACUGCAAAUGAGUAAUCACUUUGAUAAUAAGUAUUAUUUAAUGAAAUCUUCUACAUAUUCCUUAAAGUUUUUGUCAUUGAGUUUAAGUGGAUUAUAAGUUCAAUUGUAUUUAUUGUUCUAGAGGCUACACUAGGUAUCAACUUUAGCACGAUGACUUGUUUAAUUAUUGGUUAUAUUCUUAUUUCUUUUAAUGCUUGCAUGCUUUUGAUUACCAAUGCUUGCCCCUAGAGUGUUGUAUUCUUUGCUUUAUCUGACGAUGGGGCUGCUAAUUAAGGGCAGUUGUUUGAGGCUUUGAACAUCUCUACACUUUGGGACCUGCCUGCAAUUUUGGUCUGCGAGAAUAAUCAUUGUGAGCAAUUUGAAUUGGAAUGAAAUUUUAUUGGUCUAUUAAAUUUUUGUGGACUUUAUUUAUUUCAUGUAAAAGAUGGUAUGGGGACGACUGAGUGGAGAGCCGCAAAGAGUCCUACUUACUACAAACGUGGGGAUUAUGCUCCUGGUUUGAAGGUGGAUAGAAUGGAUGCUCUUGCUGUGAAGCAAGCUUUCACGUUUGCCAAAGAACAUGCUUUGAAGAAUGGACCAAUUGUAAGUUUAUUCAUCCUGCUAUUACCUGUUUUUCAUUUUUUUCUUUUUAAUAAUCUUUUAUUGUGCUUAUUUUCUGGCCAUUUUCCACAUGCGAAUACUUCCUUAUUUAAAGGUGUGAAUCUACCACAUCAACUUGAGAAAACUUUGGCUUUCUUCAUCACUCAUUUUAGUGUUUGUGUAAAUUGUGUUAUCUUCCUUAUGCCUAAAGCUGUUAGAGAAUCAAAUCCCCUGCUACAUGAUUGAUCAUGCUUGAACAAACUCCAUAAUUACAUGCUUAACCUUAUAAGUUAAUUCUACUAGUCACCUCUAAAAUUAGUAAACUCAUAGAAUAUGUUAUUGUUUCUCUUCUACACUAUGACUGAGAGAUACAUGCUUCAUUUUGAACUUUUUCUGAUUAAUCAAUAUUUGAUUUACAACAUUUGAGCACCAAGCGACAGAAUACAACACUUUGUUGGAAUAUUGUGCUUGUUUCAAACUAUUUUAUGCUUGUGGUACUGAAGACAUAGAUCUGAAAGAAAACCCGACGCUCUCCCUCCAAAGUGUUGAUGAAAUCAUGAAAAUAGUUGAAGAGGCCAAAGUUUCCCCUAGAGUAUCACGGCCUAUCAAAGGCUUUGGCUAGGGUGGAGAAGAAGAUGGGGAUGCAAAGGAAGAAGAUGCAAAGGAAGACGAAGAAGAAGACGAAGAAGAUGAGUAUGAGAAAACGAUAAAAGAGGUACAUGCCAGUGGAGAAAUUCACUUCUCUUAAGGAAAAAAGAGAGUAAUAUAUGGUUUCCAAAUGUUGGAGCUUUGGUGUCUUUUAGUGCUUACAUAUGUUCUUAUAAAUAUGAUGUCAGUUUUUCGCACUUGGACCUGGGUGUUGAAUAAACAACCUGUAAAUUAGUGUGUUUUGGACAAGUAGUUUGUGCAGUCUCUAAUAUGAUUUUGUAGGGUGUAUUGGUACUGAUUAGGUAGGUGGAAACUACAGGGAUUUGAACCCUGCCUAGUUGGUAAGUUGGGUAAAUGUAGUGGUCUACACUUUUUAGAGUAAAAUGGAAGAUCUGUCAUCUGUGAGUCCUAUAAGUUUGAUUUCUUCCAUCAUAAAGUGGUAUGUUAUGUCUAGAGUUGCGACUCCAUAAAAUUUAAGAAAUUACCAAUAUAAUUUUUAAGUAA